GACGAACGCUGGCGGCGUGCUUAACACAUGCCAGUCGAACGGAAAGGCCCCUUUGGGGGUACUCGAGUGGCGAACGGGUGCGUAACACGUGAGUAACCUGCCCUUGACUUCGGGAUAACUUCAGGAAACUGGGGCUAAUACCGGAUAGGAAUCCUUGCUGCAUGGUGGGGGUUGGAAAGCUUCGGCGGUUUUGGAUGGACUCGCGGCUUAUCAGCUUGUUGGUGGGGUAGUGGCUUACCAAGGCUUUGACGGGUAGCCGGCCUGAGAGGGCGACCGGCCACACUGGGACUGAGAGACGGCCCAGACUCCUACGGGAGGCAGCAGUGGGGAAUAUUGCACAAUGGGCGGAAGCCUGAUGCAGCAACGCCGCGUGCGGGAUGACGGCCUUCGGGUUGUAAACCGCUUUCAGCAGGGGCGAAGCUUGUGGUGACGGUACCUGCAGAAGAAGCACCGGCUAACUACGUG
rnacentral:rRNA from 1 species